AAUCUGACAUCUUUCUUCUCUCGUGACUUAUCACUUUCUCAGUAUAGUUUUCUUCAGACUCAUUUCUGACAUCUGGACAAUCUUUGGACACGUGCCAAAUUACCUGCACAACGGAUGAAGCAUGUACUGACAGUUUUGUGCGGCAGGGGGCGCCAGAAGGAACGUUUCCAGAGAGGAAUUCCCUCUUCCUGAAGAAGCACGUGUUUGCACUUCUGUCUCUGUUUGGAGCGUCUAGUUCAGACGGAGAAUGAACAUCUAAACCAAUUACUUGAAAAUAAAUGGAGCAUGAUUGUGAUUCUGUCACAUGUCAUAUAACAUGACAGCAGCCUGACACUGUGUGUUUGUGUUUCAUAGCGGUGCUGAUUUGUCAUGCAUUUUAAAUUGAAUAGAUGGCGAAUUCCUGCAUCCAUUAACUCCAAUAAUAAUUUAUGUAUUUAGAGUUCUUACAAUCAAACACAUACACUAUUUCAUUAUUUCUUUUUUCCUUUUUGUUUACUCGAGUCUUUAGUCCACUUUAGACAUUCUACUAACUAACUUUGCAACUGCAUGUCAACUAGCAGUUAUUAGAGUAUUAGUAUCUGCUUAAUAUCUGCUAAAACUUUAUUGUGAUGCUUCACAAAACACAUUCUACUGACUACACUGUAAGUAACUUUGCAAGUUUAUGUGAACUUAUUCUUAUUUUUAGGUCCUGGAUGUUAUCAAUAUGCAGUUUCAUCUGGGAAGGAAAUUUAAACUCAGCUGACGGUAAUAUUGGAAAAAUAUCCAGAAUUUUGCAUCAAUCACAUUAACUGGUACUUUAAUAUGCCAUUAAAACUGGCAGGAAAGAGGCUUACUAGUGUUUCUCCUAAAAGCCAUAACAUGGAUCACAGGAUAAACACUCCUGCCAUUCACCGCCAGGAGGUGGGAGCGCUUUAGGGAUGGGGAGGUGUGAAGUGUAGCAGAGGAUUUUCAGAAACAUCAUUUCACUUUUCAUAUAUUCUGCUCACACAUGUUCUGUGUUUUCCUCCACUCUCAUCUUAACAAGCACAGAUCCGGUGGAUCCUGUUGAGUGGACAGUGGGUGGAGAAAUGGAGAAACCAACACAGAACACACUCAGAAACAAGCACAUCUCAUACAACAGGAAAAAAAGUACCUCACACCUCAGUUGGAUUUAAUUGAGCGCUAAAUCCUGCUGCUUCUUCAAAUUCCUUUUGAGGACUGCAGAGGACUGUUUUCUUGUAACGAGGCCAGAAGGAGAGACAAUAGCAAAGCUAUCUAUGCCAGACUUCUGCAAAUGAAACGGCUGAUGCUGCUUAAUGCUCUGCACACAUCACUGGACCAUCCUGAAAAGUGUACAGUGGUGUGUGUGGUAUGUCUUCUGGAGCCGGAUCCAACAUGUGAGCAAUGCUAUGCAUGUGGGUAGGAAGAUUGGAGUGCUGCAAUCUUCCAAAGCUUCUCAAAUAAGGAUGUGACAGAACAAUGUGAGGGCUUUAGUAUGACACACUGAACUAUAAAGGCUGUGACACACCAAGCCGACAUCAAAGAAUUAGCGGUGACUAAAGCUGACUGCAUUGUUGCCUGAUGUCGCCUGUGUCUGGGUCAAAAAAUUGCUCUUGAACACACCGCAAAGACUACAGCUAACGGCCAACUAGCACUUACAAUUUAUACCUGCAUGAGAGGAAAUAACUUUCCAUACCAGCAGGCUGCAGUAGUCUGAAUUCAUCAUUCAAAAAGGGAAACUGGAGCUAGAACUGCAGAUAUACAUAGUGUAAACUUGCUUGCCAUUUUGAAUAUGAAUAAUGUUGAUCUAUUUCUUCAUUAGGCAACCAUGUCAUUAUGAAAAUAUUUGCAUACUGGAAUGCUCAGAGAAGAUGAAGGUGUAUAAUUGAGAAGAGCCUUCUGUGUGUGUUCUCUUUACUUUGUCAUUUGCAGUCU
ensembl:lncRNA